UACAUAUUUAGAACUGAAUUGGUGCAACAU
rnacentral:piRNA from 1 species